UCGCACUAGUCGGUGUAACCCUGACUCUGUGCCGGGUCUGAGGAUGCCCUCCGUCGUCACCCCUUAUAACGCGUUACCUGCUUUCAGACUGCGUCGCUGCGGCGCACCCCCUCCUUCCGGAAUCCCAGCAUUUGGGGACAGUCUACCCUGCUUGGCAUCUAGCCGAUUAUAGACCAGACGGACUGCCAUGGUAGUCUCCUUCGAGGCCGAUUGAGGCACGGUCGUCGGCGCCAUUAUGCCUCCCUCGUUCGCAACAAGCCUUAAUGACCCGCAUUUCCCGCGCAUCCGCCGGAUCAUUCAGCUCACACUUUACGGCCCCGAGUUGAGGCACGUGACGUAAGCUAUGACGGACCGAUCUCUUUCCAUCUCCGCUCGCCUUAAGGGCCACAUCGCCACCUUACGCAUCUAUAGCCCUUCUUGUGGACACCGCUUCCGCCGAGCGACCCGGAAAAGACUGCGACUUCGCGCUUUCGCACCCCU
rnacentral:rRNA from 1 species